GGUUAAACUUGGAUUUGUGCUUCGAGGUCCAUUAUGAAGAACAACUUAUAAUUACAUAUUAGGCAUUCAACUACAUAUAUUUCAUCCGUUUCAUCAACUUGUAGAAGCAAGCACAAUGUUUCUUUAUUAUUAAUUUCAUGGAUGAAGGAACAAGUAACGAAGUUAAAACAAGAUAUAGUAGAGAAGCAUACUAUGUUGGAGAACUUGAAGAAAAUACAAGGUUGUACGUUCGAAUAAAUGGAAUAUCAACUGUUGUUACAAUAUGCGAGAAAGUUUUCCAUCAAGUUAACAUAUGGGUUUAUCUUAGUAAACAUUAUAAUUCGGAUUUUAUUGUAUCGUU